AUUGAAGAAGAUAAAGAAGAUGAAGAAAAGGACGAAGUAUAUGUAGGUUGAUUUAGAAAAUCCAUUGAAAUAUGGAAAGCUUUUGGUAUUCGAGAGAAUUGAAGAGAGAAGGCGGUGAAAAUCUUUGGUGUAUUGAAGAGCAUUGAAUGAAAAUUGAAGGAAACAGAGAGAAGAUGAGAAUGCCGCCCAAAAUCCCAAUUCUCUGGCCACAGAGAAUAGCACAUCAAAGUCAAAAAGUCAACCAUUAUUUUGCUUUAGUAUAAUAGAUAGAUUAAAUCAGUUUGAGUAAUGCUCUCUUUACUUGCAAAUGCGUCCAUAGUUCAUCUUUUCAAAGAGGUCAAAUAGGGCAAAAUUUGCUCAAAAGUUUUUUUGUUUCCAUUUUUAAUGUGUCAGUUUUCGUAGUGUUCUGAUUGCGUUGAUUUUGGCAAUAUACUUCUUGCUUCUUAUCAUCUUCAUCAAUUUUAUUAGGUUUUUGGGUUUUGAUGUUUCUUUCGCUAAAAGCAGGUUCCCGUACUUUUAUGGAGCGUAAUUUCCUUCUUUUCGGAUCUGGCCCGGUAUUUGGUUUUCUCUUAUAUGCAACGACUUUAGUUUUAGAUGGCUUAUUGGGUUUUGCAAUUUUGUCAUUGGCUUUGGUGUUUUGUACUUUGAGUGUUGUGAUUUUGGGGGUUCUGAUGUAAGGCGUUUCUUUUUUUGUGUUAAUUUUUGCUAAAUAAAUUCAUGCGAUCUGGUGAAGUUUGUAAAGUUGGUGAGAACGAGUUCACUUUAUUAUGAGCUCAGUUCUACAUUAUUGAGGUUUGUAAAGUUCUUAUGUAUGCAACUCAAAAAAAAAUGGCCAGCAUACAUAAGAGUGGUCCACUUUUUAAGUCACAAGGGUAUUUGAUUUUGGUUUCAUGUAGAUCCACAACUGUUCUAUAUUGGUUUAUUAUGUUUUUUAUGGCUUUGAUCUAUUUGAAUUCCUUUGGUUAAUGCUCACAGCUGUUUUGUGUUGGUUUAACCCAAGCAUAACGCACGAGUAGGGUGAGGAAUCCCGCCGGUUUCGAAACCACUAGGCGGGUCAGGCAAUGUGUUAAAGCGGGCCUCUGCGUCGUUGGCACUACCUAUCAUCAUUUUGUUCGGAGUUUUAUGAGCCAUAUUUUUUACUACUCACUAACGAAGACCUCACAGAAAAAGGAGCGUGCUUCUUCAUCAGCUAACAUCUCAAUGAAGCAACACCCGCUCCGCCUCUUGCCACCCCAACAUCAAAGCCAACUAAAAGGCAAAUAUAAUGAUACGUGCGACACAUCAAGAAAAAGGACGGCUAAAAAUCAUGUGUAACAACCAUAGAUUAUGCUACAGAUGGACCGGUAAGACUUUGUUAAAAGGCUUCAAUGGCUUGCUAAACAAACAAGGCGGAUACAAAUCCUAUAAGACAACUGUAAGGUUAUGGUAUGGAUGGACCGAGAAGGUUGUAUCAAAAUGCUUCCAUUGCCUGUUAUUUGUAGAUCCAUUUUUUCAUGUAGGAAUUAGUUGUUUUCAGUUAAAAAAAAGGUACAAAACAUGUCGUAUUUGGUCAUCCAACUCCUAUUUAAAAGACAAAUCGAGAUUUAGCAUAAAUGUACGUAGCAUUGAACUGAGAAUGAUUCGGUUUAGCAUGCCGCAACGCGCGUAGAGUAUAUAAC